AGCAGUCCACGGUAAAACGAAGGGGGCUAGCGUUGCUCGGAAUGACUGGGCGUAAAGGGCGCGUAGGCGGUUUUGACAGUCAGAUGUGAAAUUCCUGGGCUUAACCUGGGGGCUGCAUUUGAGACGUCAAGACUAGAGUGUGAGAGAGGGUUGUGGAAUUCCCAGCGUAGAGGUGAAAUUCGUAGAUAUUGGGAAGAACACCGGUGGCGAAGGCGGCAACCUGGCUCAUUACUGACGCUGAGGCGCGAAAGCGUGGGGAGCAAACAGGAUUAGAUACCCGAGUAGUCCCUGUCUCUUAUACAC
rnacentral:rRNA from 1 species